GAAAUGCGAUAAGUAAUGUGAAUUGCAGAAUUCAGUGAAUCAUCGAAUCUUUGAACGCACAUUGCGCCCCUUGGUAUUCCGGGGGGCAUGCCUGUUCGAGCGUCAUUUCAACCCUCAAGCUUUGCUUGGUCUUGGGCUCUGCCGGCAACGGCUUGCCUUAAACGCAGUGGCGGUGCCAUUCGAGCUCUACGCGUAGUAACUUACACAUCGCGAUUGAGUCUUGGUGGAUGCUAGCCAGCAACCCUUUAUUUUUCUAUGGUUGACCUCGGAUCAGGUAGGGAUACCCGCUGAACUUAA
rnacentral:misc_RNA from 1 species